AGACACAAGGACCCAGCAUUCUCUGGGCUGCUCAGACUGCAGUUUAUUUACCAGGAUAUUUAUCUACACAGGCAUUCAGGAGAUCAUUUCUGAUUCUGAUAAAUCAACAUGAAGAUACAGUGUUUAAUAAUAAUAGUUGUCCUGCUGAUGGCAGCUUGUCUGGUUGAGCCCUCUGAUGGGAGGUGUCCAAGCGACUCUUCAUCUGGCGGGGGAGGGAGACGUUGCAACUAUGACUGGCAAUGCCGUCGCGGGUGGAUGUGCUGCUGGCAUCGCUGCGUCUAUGGGUCAUGAUUUUGAGGUAGAGGACAGUUCUUCCCUCACCGUCAUGAACGCUGAUGGUGAGAUGC